UACGUAGGGUGCAAGCGUUAAUCGGAAUUACUGGGCGUAAAGCGUGCGCAGGCGGUUCUAUAAGACAGAUGUGAAAUCCCCGGGCUCAGCCUGGGAACUGCAUUUGUGACUGUAGAGCUGGAGUACGGCAGAGGGGGAUGGAAUUCCGCGUGUAGCAGUGAAAUGCGUAGAUAUGCGGAGGAACACCGAUGGCGAAGGCAAUCCCCUGGGCCUGUACUGACGCUCAUGCACGAAAGCGUGGGGAGCAAACAGG
rnacentral:rRNA from 1 species